UACAGAGGUCCCAAGCGUUGUUCGGAUUCACUGGGCGUAAAGGGUGCGUAGGCGGUCGGGUAAGUCUGAUGUGAAAUCUCACAGCUUAACUGUGAAACUGCAUUGGAUACUAUCCGGCUAGAGGAAUGGAGGGGAGACUGGAAUACUUGGUGUAGCAGUGAAAUGCGUAGAUAUCAAGUGGAACGCCAGUGGCGAAGGCGAGUCUCUGGACAUUUCCUGACGCUGAGGCACGAAAGCCAGGGGAGCAAACGGG
rnacentral:rRNA from 1 species